rnacentral:rRNA from 1 species
UACGUAGGGUGCGAGCGUUGUCCGGAAUUAUUGGGCGUAAAGAGCUUGUAGGCGGUUUGUCGCGUCUGCCGUGAAAAUCCGGGGCUCAACCCCGGACUUGCGGUGGGUACGGGCAGACUAGAGUGUGGUAGGGGAGACUGGAAUUCCUGGUGUAGCGGUGAAAUGCGUAGAUAUCAGGAGGAACACCGGUGGCGAAGGCGGGUCUCUGGGCCGAUACUGACGCUGAGGAGCGAAAGCGUGGGGAGCGAACAGG